rnacentral:tRNA from 1 species
UUAGUUGAAACCAAAUAGAGGUAUAUUACUGUUAAUAAUAUCAAUGAACUUAACUUCCAACUAAA